UUUUCUCUCCAAACUGCUUCCUGCUGAAUGGGGGCGUCGUUAAUUAGGUCUUUCAUGGUAUAACCUGUGUGCUAGUUUCAUCUCAGUUGGCAGUUGAGCGAAGCAAUUUUCUGAAGGUAUUCACAGCAACCGUUCAGGAGGGCGUGGUCCAUCAUACCAUAUCGGAAUAGAAGAAAUGAACAGGGUCUCAUCCUCUGUGAAAACAAAAUAAGAAACUCCUUUCCAAAGUAUCAUGUCCUUAGAUCCAAAUUUCAAAGUCAAGGCAUCAAAAUCUCUACGUUGGAUUAGUUCAGCAGCAUUUAUAAACAAAUAUCUUUUAGCAUCUGUUGCUCCUUCCUCAGCAUUCAAACAAUUCAAAGAGAGCAUAAUAGCAUACAGUAUCAAGAUUCUCUGUGUAUUUUCCAUCUUUGUGAGCUUUAUUUUAACCUCUAUUAAGUUUAUUUUUACUUUCAUUUUAUAUUCUCUGUAUCUCUGUCCUGGAAUAACUCUGUAGACCAGGCUGUCCUUGAACUCUCAGAGAUCCGCCUGUCUCUGCCUCCCAGGCAUUGGGAUUAAAGGUGUUUGCUACCACACCUUGAACUCACAGAGAUCUGUUUGUCUCUGCCUUCUAGGCACUGGGAUUAAAGGCGUGUACUACCACACACAACUUCUCUUUUUCUUACUUUUUUA